rnacentral:rRNA from 1 species
AAUCGUGGUCAAUGGCGGCAACCCUGAUCCAUCCAGCCUGCGGGUGCGAUGAAGGCUUCCGGAGUGUAAAGCCCUUUUCGCAGGGAAGAAAAGGCUCUGGCUAAUACCCGGAGCUGCUGACGUUACCUGCAGACUAAGCACCAGCUAACUAUGUACCUGCAGCCGCGGUAAUACGUAGGGUGCAAGCGUUAAUCGGAAUUAAUGGGCGUAAAGCGUGCGCAGGCGGUUCGGCAAGAAGGAUGUGAAAUCCCAGGGCUUAACCUUGGAACUGCAUUCUUAACGGCCGGGCUAGAGUAUGUCAGAGGGGGGUAGAAUUCCGCGUGUAGCAGUGAAAUGCGUAGAGAUGCGGAGGAAUACCGAUGGCGAAGGCAGCCCCCUGGGAUAAUACUGACGCUCAUGCACGAAAGCGUGGGGAGCAAAC